rnacentral:rRNA from 1 species
UUCGCAAUGCCCGAAAGGGUGACGAAGCGACGCCGCGUGUGGGAAGAAGGCCUUCGGGUUGUGAACCACUGUCGGGAGUUAAGAAAUGCAAGGAUAUUAAUAGUGUCUUUGUUUGACUAAGGCUCCGGAGGAAACCACGGCUAACUCUGUGCCAGCAGCCGCGGUAACACAGAGGCGGCAAGCGUUGUUCGGAAUUAUUGGGCGUAAAGAGCACGUAGGCGGCUAUGUAAGUCGGUUGUGAAAGCCUUCCGCUCAACGGAAGAACAGCAUCCGAUACUACAUGGCUUGAGUGUGGGAGGGGAGAGUGGAACUUCUGGUGGAGCGGUGAAAUGCGUAGAUAUCAGAAGGAACGCCGGCGGCGAAAGCGGCUCUCUGGCCCAUAACUGACGCUGAGUGUGCGAAAGCUAGGGGAGCAAACGGGAUUAGAUACCCCGGCAGUCCUAGCCGUAAACGAUGGGCACUAAGUAGAGGGGUUUU